GCUUGUCUCAAAGAUUAAGCCAUGCAUGUCUCAGUAUAAGCUUUUACACGGCGAAACUGCGAAUGGCUCAUUAAAACAGUUAUCGUUUCUUUGGUGGUUAUUGAUUACAUGGAUAACCGUGGUAAUUCUAGAGCUAAUACAUGCUGUUAAGCCUGACUUCUUGAAGGGCUGUAUUUAUUAGAUAACAGACCAAUAUUCCUCGUGUCUAUUGUGGUGACUCAUAGUAACUGAUCGGAUCGCACGGGCUUGCCCGCGACAAACCAUUCAAGUUUCUGCCCCAUCAGCUUUCGAUGGUAGUGUAUUGGACUACCAUGGCUUUUACGGGUAACGGAGGAUUAGGGUUCGAUUCCGGAGAGGGAGCCUGAGAAACGGCUACCACAUCUAAGGAAGGCAGCAGG
rnacentral:rRNA from 1 species